rnacentral:rRNA from 1 species
AGUGAACGCUGGCGGUAUGCCUAACACAUGCAAGUCGAACGGCAGCACAGUAAGAGCUUGCUCUUACGGGUGGCGAGUGGCGGACGGGUGAGGAAUACAUCGGAAUCUACUUUUUCGUGGGGGAUAACGUAGGGAAACUUACGCUAAUACCGCAUACGACCUACGGGUGAAAGCAGGGGAUCUUCGGACCUUGCGCGAUUGAAUGAGCCGAUGUCGGAUUAGCUAGUUGGCGGGGUAAAGGCCCACCAAGGCGACGAUCCGUAGCUGGUCUGAGAGGAUGAUCAGCCACACUGGAAAUGAGACACGGUCCAGACUCCUACGGGAGGCAGCAGUGGGGAAUAUUGGACAAUGGGCGCAAGCCUGAUCCAGCCAUACCGCGUGGGUGAAGAAGGCCUUCGGGUUGUAAAGCCCUUUUGUUGGGAAAGAAAAGCAGCAGGUUAAUACCCCGCUGUUCUGACGGUACCCAAAGAAUAAGCACCGGCUAACUUCGUG